rnacentral:snRNA from 1 species
GCUUGCUUCAGCAGCCAUAUACUAAAAUUGGAACUACAAGAGAUUAGCAUGUUCCCUGCGCAAGGAUGACACACAAAUUUGUAAAGCGUUUCAUAGUUUU